rnacentral:rRNA from 1 species
UCGUGUUAACAAGGAUUCCCCUAGUAACGGCGAGCGAAGCGGGAAGAGCUCAAAUUUGAAAGCUGGCACCUCCGGUGUCCGCGUUGUAAUCUCGAGACGUGUUUUCCGUGCGGCUCUAUGGACAAGUCCCUUGGAAUAGGGCAUCGUAGAGGGUGAGAAUCCCGUACUUGCCAUGGAAGAACCGUGCUUUGCGAUACACGCUCUAAGAGUCGAGUUGUUUGGGAUUGCAGCUCAAAAUGGGUGGUAGACUCCAUCUAAAGCUAAAUAUCGGGGAGAGACCGAUAGCGAACAAGUACCGUGAGGGAAAGAUGAAAAGCACUUUGGAAAGAGAGUUAAAAGUACGUGAAAUUGUCGAAAGGGAAGCACUUGAAGUCAGCCAUGCUGCUUGAGACUCAGCCUGGCCUUUGGGCUUGGUGUAUUUCUCGGUGGCAAGCCAGCAUUGGUUUGGGUCGUCGGAGAAGCGCAUAGGGAAUGUAGCGUCUCCGGACGUGUUAUAGCCUUAUGCAGGAUACGACGACCUGGAUCAAGGAACGCAGUGUGCCCUCUGGGCGGGUCUUCGGACACCUUCACACUUAGGAUGCUGGCGUAAU